GACCACGUAUAGCUCAGUCGGCAGAGCAUUGGGCUAGUAUUCCAAAGGUUGUAGGUUCGAUUCCCACCGUGGCCA
rnacentral:tRNA from 1 species